UUUUAGUAGAAGCAAGAAAAAACAAAAUAGCCAAACGAUCCUUCGGUUGUAUGGAACAUGUGAGCAGUGGAUGAUACAUUAGCCACUUCCUCGGUCAAGAAACAAACUGUUGCACACCUCUCUCUCUCUCUCUCUCUCUCUGCAGCCGUUUUAUGUUCUGAUCCUCCCUCUCUCUCUACCUCAUACGCACACAGAGAGAACUCACAGAAACACGAUCCUUUACUUUUAGGGUUUUCGAUGCUCUCGCUUUCUCUCUCUAACUUACUCUCUUCUAUCUCAUCGUUGCGCAGGCGUAGCUUGAGGGUUUAUCGAGCACGUGGGCUAUUGAAUGUCAAUUUAGUUUUAUGCAUGUUUGUUUGAUUACGGCGUGGUGAUUAUAGGCUUAAUCUUUGGUUUUCCUCUACUAAUCAGGUGUUAGUACUAAUGGAGUUUGAAAUGGCAUAACUUGGAACUCACCUUUUGAGUAAUUCCUCAAGGUUUUAAUUGCUUCAUGGCUCGAAAGGGUAAUCAGCAGAAGAAUGGAGUGGACCGUCAUGGAUUGAACCACAAGAAAGGGGGUGGUGGUGGUGUCCUUCCGGGUAUGAAAGGCAAAGGAGGGCCUGUGAAGGUUUUCCCGGGAGAGGAACCUGCAAACGGUGACAGGCCUGCUGGCGGUCUUUCACAUACUGAAUGUGAUGCUAGCUCUGCUUGUGAUGACUAUAACAAUGAGCAAAGAUCUGAAAAAAUUGCCGGGAAAGAGAAGCAAGGGAUGGCUGCAAAGCAUGAUCUGGAGAACUCCUUGUCCUCUGGGAUUAAUUCAGGGGAUGGAAGUCUGAAUUCUGAAAUUCCAGUGUAUGGAGAAAAUGGGACUUUACCUAGAAGUAAUCAAGAUCAACAGAGUAUAAAGAGUAGAUUGAGUUGUAUACUGGAUGGUUUGCAUGUGAGAGGUGUGGUAGAAAGAGUAGAGUUUGCUGAUAAUAUGAUAAUUAGAAGAUUAAGGUUGUCAGUGUUCUCCAUCAUCACAGCAGUUACUGAGUGGAUAACCAGGCAGGCGCCGUUGUUUGUUUCUCUGAAAACCAUAACUAUUAGAGCCUAUGAUAACAUCAGAACGAAAGUUGCGCAUGCAUAUCCUGUUGUUCUUAAGUGGCUCAUGCAUUUUGGAAGCAUUAUGCUCCUGUUAUCGGUAUUUUGGUUGGAUUGUACCCUCCGAGGUAUUGAUUCAUUUGUACGUAUGGGUACAACAUCCUUCUUCACAGUUAUAUGGUGCAGCAUAUUCUCAGUGAUUAGUAUGAUAGGGAUGCUCAAGUUUUUAGUUGUCCUGGGCCUGGCUGCCUUGAUUGGAUUUUUUCUUGGCCUCAUGCUUGCAAUUUUGGUAGUUGCAAUCCUGGGAGUUGUUACGUUGUGGUUCUAUGGUAGCUUUUGGACAACAGCAUUUUUCAUCAUCCUUGGAGGAUUGGCAUUUAUGUUAAGUCAUGAACGAAUGGCACUAUUUAUCACCACUGGGUAUUCUGUUUAUUGUGCUUGGCUGUACGUUGGGUGGCUUGGUUUGCUAUUGGCUUUCAAUUUAGCUUUCAUCUCAAGUGAUAUUCUGAUAUACUUCCUCAAGAAAAACAUUGAUCAACAGAGUAGAUCCAAUCCUUUUGAGCAAACGGCUGGAAUGCAUGGUCAACCAGGAUUUAAUGAUGAACCAAUGCAGGGAUCUUCCUCUGAAAAUGGACCAGGACCAUCUGCAGAUCGUAAUGCCGGAGUCCCUUCAACUAGUGGAGUUGAUUCUGAUGUAACUUCUGAAGAUGAAGUUGUCCGUUUGUUGAACUGCUCUGAUCACUAUUCAGCACUUGGCUUGACACGGUAUCAAAAUAUAGAUGUCUCAAUACUGAAGCGGGAAUAUAGGAAGAAGGCAAUGUUGGUACAUCCUGAUAAAAAUAUGGGUAAUGAAAAGGCUGCAGAAGCAUUUAAGAAACUUCAAAAUGCAUAUGAGAUUCUAAUGGAUUCCUUGAAGCGAAAAGCUUAUGAUGAUGAGCUAAGGAGAGAAGAACUUUUGAGUGUAUUUCGCAGAUUUCAUGAUGCUUCCCGUAAGAAUGGUAGGCAUGGGUUCUUUUCGUCAGGAUUUGCACGAUCAGAUGCUGAUGGUGAAGACCCAUUUGGUGAUUCAAGACGAAUAGCCUGCAAAAAGUGUGGGGGUUUUCAUGUCUGGAUACACACCAAGAAACAAAAGUCUCGGGCAAGAUGGUGCCAGGUUUAUUCAUCUUUUUUCUCCCCCCCGCCCUCUCAAUGAAGCCUAGGUAGCAUGUGUAACUGACUUAGCUAGGCUGCCUAACCACAUUAAUAAUUGAAAAAAUCUUGCCAGUAUCCUAUCGUGCGAUUUCCCUAAAAAAGAAAGCAUUUUUGUACAUGUCAUGGUACUAACGUUUUACAAUGGGGUCUUUUGUUUUAAAGGAUUGCCAAGAUUUUCAUCAAGCCAAGGAUGGUGAUGGAUGGGUUGAACAAUCUUCCCAACCGUUUCUUUUUGGCUUAUUGCAGAAGGUAGUUGCUCCUUUGGCAUAUGUGUGCGCUGAUAGCAGAAUAUAUAACGCCACUGAAUGGUAUAUCUGUCAGGGUAUGAGAUGUCCAGCGAAUACUCAUAAACCAAGUUUUCAUGUGAACACUAGUUUAAUGUCCAAGCAUAGUUCUGGCAAAGGAGCUACUUCAGCUCAAAGAGGUGGGCGGAUGCCGACACCUAAUAUUGAAGAAACCAUGACUGAGGAAGAAUUCUUUGAGUGGUUUCAGAAUGCAGUACAGGCAGGUGUGUUUGACAAUUAUAGUGGCACUGCAGCAGAAAGCCCAUCUUCCAAAUCUGGAAAUGGGAUGAAAAGUCCUGGCAAUGGUAGUGGUAGUAGCACCAAGAGAAAGAAAAAAGGAAAAAAGCAAUGGUGAUAUCUAAAUCAUGUUUUAUCAUAAUAGCAGAGUUGCCUUGAGCACUUCGCAGGCUUGAAAGGCAUGUAAGUUUCAGAGUUGCUAUCUGUUAACGAAGCCCCAAAAUUGAGUUGGUGCCUGUUGUACAGCGUCAUUUUUCUCAAGUGUAGAUCUAUUCUCCAAUAAAUUUUUGGUAUACCUUUAGCCUUUCUAGUACAGCUUUGUGGCAAUGGUCCCCUGCGCAUGAUUUUCCUUGUCAAAGAUUCAAUCUUAAGCGGCGAGGAUCAAACUGGGUCUUCUAUGCAAUUAGACGAAAAUAUCAUGCAUGAAUCAUAUGAUCUAUCUCGGCCAAAGGAAGAGAGAACAAAUUGUAUCAAGCUUCAAUUUUCAACAGCCAGAGCAUACUCCUAGCACCUCAGAUGCUACCUUACAUUAACCGUGUUUUGGAUUAGUUCAUAAUUGUGACUUAACGGUCUUGAAUAUAGUUGAUUCAAUUAAUAAAUAUAUUAAAGUUAUAAAUUAUUGUGGUUUGCUUGAUAUUGAAUUUUGCCAAAUACAUGAAUGUUAAAAGUGCAAUCAAAUAUGCUCACCAAAAAGUGUAAUGUCUUUCCAAAUUUAUAUAUAUAUUAUUAUCAC